UUCACGGACCUACUUUUCUUACUGUUUCUCUGAACACCAGAAGAAAAAAGAAAUUGAGAAAGAAACAACGAUUUACUGCAGUGAAGUAAAGGAAAAGGAAAAGGUUAAAAGCUUUGCAAUCCCCAACUUCCGUCACACCUGUCGACCUUUCUGAUGGUUUUGCUUCGAGAUGGGAAAACCAAAAUAACAAAGAGGUUGACGAGGUCUGCCCGAGUGGCCAUGCAAUGCAAUUU
rnacentral:misc_RNA from 1 species